rnacentral:rRNA from 1 species
UAAAUCUCGUGCCAGCCACCGCGGUUAUACGAGAGACUCCAGUUGACAGCCACGGCGUAAAGAGUGGUUAGGAGAACUAAAUAACUAAAGCCAAAGACCUCCUAAGCCGUUCUACGCACCCCGGAGGCACGAAGUCCUUCUACGAAAGUGGCUUUAUUCAUAAACCUGACCCCACGAAAGCUAAGAAACAAACUAGGAUUAGAUACCCCACUA